rnacentral:lncRNA from 1 species
AUAUAUAUAUAGUGUAGAAUUACUAUGCUAUUGGAAGUAUAGAGGGCUCUUCCAACUUUUCGGUCUUUGGAUCAAGGAUUGAACGGUUAGAAUGAAUGCUGUUGCUCUAGGGUUAAGUAGUCCCCACAGGAUAAUAAUAUUAAUCUACAAAUUAGAAAUGGUCAAAAAGAUUGAUUUAAUGGUCAAAAAGUUGUAAACAUCAAAUCUUCUAUGCUUCUGAUAGCAUAGUAGCCUUACUCUCUCUCUCUCUCUCUCUCUCUCUCUAUAUAUAUAUAUAUAUAUAUAUAUAUAGUUGAGCUGGAAUUCUAUCGAUAGCAAAUAGGCUUCAUUGUCAUCCAUUUGUUUUCAAUGAUAGAGCCUCCAAAUCGACAAUCGGCACUGUUGAAAAUGAUCUAUACCACUUGAAGUAUCUAUAAAUCAAAUUUCAUACUUUUCUAAUAUUGUUCUCGUCCAUCAAGUGGGCGUAAAAUGAACGGUUGAAAAUGAAUGUCCUAUAAAAAGUGAUGAUAGGAAGCUUAUAAUCAAGAUCGAGAGUGCAGAUCUUGCUCUAAAUAGUUCAAAAAAUUUUCUAAUUAGAAUUCAAUUGAUUUAGAUAGCUUAAUUUAUAUCGUUAUACAAGAAAACGACUCAUAUCUGCAAUUAAAAUUAUAAAUUUUGAAACCCUUUGAUCAUUAGAUCAAUGUUGUCGAAAAAAUUUAAAAUUUGAUUUUUAUAUACUUCAAGUAGUAUUGAUUAUGUUCAACGGUACCGAUUUUAAUCAUCGAAAAUAAAUGAUUGAUAACGAAGUCCGUUUCUUACUAAUAGCAUUCCAGCUCAUCUCUCUAUAUAUUUUAUAUUAUAUAUAUAAUGCGUCAUAGUA